GGGUGUGGAAACCUCUCCCUGGAAAAUGCGUUUUAAAACCUUGAGGGAAGCUCAGAAGGGAAAGCUCAAAGAGGACAAUAGCUGUUAACGGUGGACUCGGGCGAUUACAUUUCUUCUCAAGGGGAUAAAGAUGGUCUCCUUUCCAAGGAUUGGAUGAUGACCGUACUGAAAGUUUGUGGUGGUGCAUAUUGACAUGCCCCCAUUUUUAAUACCUUUUAACUUGUUGCAUCUCAGCAAAGAUUGAAGCAGGAUGAGAUAAAAGCUUUCUUCACGGCUUACCAUGCCUCCAACAUUAUAACAGCUCGAUCGACCGUGUUUAAUUCUUAGAUAGGCUGCCCAGAAUCUGGCAUCAGCUUAUUCAGUCAGGCUGUUCCCUAUGUACUAUUCAAUUCUUCUCUACUGGUUGUUUUGGCUAUCAAGAUCUAAUAAAUGGAACUCUACAGUAAACGGAGUGCUUUAUGGGAGUAUCGCAACGUGAAAGUCAGCACUCGGCCGUCUUCAACUCCGGCUCGAAAGCUAAGUAUGCAAAAUUCCAAUUCUCUAGCUUAUGUACUUGGAAAAAUGCAUAUCAUCCAUACAUUUAUAGCAUUAUCUUCAUAUCAGUGUGAACUGAAGCCCUGCAAUAGUUCUCAUAAUGAAUGAAAAAAGUCGGUUCGUUUCGAAAGGCA